GGUUUCGGGCCCCGCUCCACCGCCUCGUCCGCCCCCUCCUAGCUCCGGUGCGGGCAGCUCCCGCUAUGGCUGCGCUGCGGAGGCUUCUGCGCCCGCCGCCUCGGCUUCCGCCUCCGCCCUCGCCUCCCCAUCCCUUCCCUGGGCCGUGUGGGCGGCCUGCGGGCAUAGCCCCGGGCCCUCCCGGCCGGCCCUUCUGCCGGGAGGAGGAGGAGGGGGCUGUGGCUGAGGCGGCUUGGAGGCGGCGGCGGCGCUGGGGGGAGCUGAGCAUAGCGGCUGCGGCCGGCGGGGGUCUGGUCGGCCUGGUGUGCUACCAGCUGUAUGGGGACCCCAGGGCCGACUCCGCGCGGGCGCCGGCCCCCUGGCUCCCCUCCAAGAGCGCGGCCGCAGAGCCGGAGGAACCGCCCCGCGGCCGGGGGCUGCUUCCCAUCCCGGUCGCCGCUGCCAAGGAGACGGUUGCUGUUGGCAGAACAGACAUUGAAGACCUAGAUCUCUAUGCAACAUCUCGGGAAAGGCGAUUUCGUUUGUUUGCUUCUGUAGAAUGUGAAGGGCAGUUAUUCAUGACUCCAUAUGAUUUUAUUUUGGCUGUUACAACAGAUGAGCCCAAAUUUGCUAAAACAUGGAAGUCACUUUCCAAGCAGGAAUUAAAUCAAAUGCUAUCAGAAACACCACCAGUUUGGAAAGGAUCAUCAAAGCUAUUUCGAAGUCUUAAAGAAAGAGGUGUGAUUUCUUACACAGAAUAUCUUUUUCUUUUAUGUAUUUUAACAAUUGAAUGCAAGGUCCACGAUGGCAAAGAUUUUAUCUUUUCACAUGAGCCACAUGCAGGUUUUAGAAUAGCUUUCAACAUGUUUGACACCGAUGGCAAUGAGAUGGUAGAUAAAAAGGAGUUUUUGGUGCUUCAAGAAAUAUUCAGGAAAAAAAAUGAAAAGAGAGAAACUAAAGGAGAUGAAGAAAAGCGUGCAAUGCUGCGUCUUCAACUUUAUGGAUACCAUUCUCCUACUAAUAGUGUACUUAAAACAGAUGCUGAGGAACUUGUCUCCAGAAGCUAUUGGGACACACUGAGACGUAAUACAAGCCAAGCACUCUUUUCAGACCUCGCAGAGCGUGCUGAUGACAUUACAAACUUAGUAACAGAUACUACACUUCUUGUACACUUUUUUGGAAAGAAAGGAAAAGCUGAGCUCAACUUUGAAGAUUUUUAUAGAUUCAUGGAUAACCUCCAAACAGAAGUUCUAGAAAUAGAAUUCCUUUCCUACUCUAAUGGGAUGAAUACUAUCAGUGAAGAAGAUUUUGCUCAUAUUCUUUUACGAUACACAAAUGUGGAAAAUACAUCAGUAUUUUUGGAAAAUGUGCGUUAUAGUAUACCUGAAGAAAAGGGCAUUACAUUUGAUGAAUUCAGGUCAUUUUUCCAGUUUUUGAACAACCUAGAAGACUUUGCAAUAGCCUUGAAUAUGUAUAAUUUUGCAAGUCGCUCUAUAGGGCAAGAUGAAUUUAAACGUGCCGUCUAUGUAGCCACUGGCCUCAGACUUUCACCACAUUUAGUGAACACAGUCUUUAAGAUUUUUGAUGUUGACAAAGAUGAUCAAUUAAGCUAUAAAGAAUUCAUUGGAAUUAUGAAAGACAGACUCCAUAGAGGAUUCCGGAUUUCCACUAGGCAACGUGAGGUUCUUAAGUCACUGCAUAUUCAGUACUUUUUAUAUGGAAAAUGAGGGUUAUAAAACAGUUCAGAAGUAUCCCACUUUCAAAUCCUGUCUGAAGAAGGAACUUCAUAGCAGAUAAGUACUUCUAAAGCAAAGUUUAAAGGAUUAUUAUCUACUUGAAAGUGCAAGAAGCAAAAACUUCAGAGGGCGGAAGCAGGUCUGAGAUCAGAACUUGUGUAAAUGAAGGAAAAGGUGAAAUGCUAAUUAUAAUUUUUUCUUUAACUGAAUUUUUGAAUAUAAGAUGCAUCUUCUUACUAAUUACUAAUGUUACGUGUUAUCAUGCAUCUUCUUACUAAUUACUAACGUUACGUGUUAUCAUGUUGAGCUUUUGACUUGAUUUACUGAACUCUGCACUUUUUCAUUCCCUUCGGAUUCUUCCAGUGACUAUAUAAGAAUGUAUUUUAAUUUUUUAAAAAAUUUAUUAGAAAUUUGUCUCAUUUCAAAAUAAUGUAUGACUCCCGGAAUCUAGAUCAUUUAAAAAUGAACAGCAACAUAUUUUUGGUUUUAGACUGAACUUAUUAUCAGAAAAUGAAUAUUCCUUGAGAUUUAUCUUAGGGCCCUUAGAAUUGUUAAUAGAUCUCCAGGCUUUUAAUUUCAUUGAAGUAAUUUUGAAACACAAAUAGAAAUUAAGCUACUAUACAAUAUGAUGGUUUACACUGUACUUUUAACUUUUAAAAUUGCUUAAUUAACAUAUAUUGUUUGAAUCAUAUAAAGUCUUUUUUAAAGUUUUUGUUCAUUUACCAAAGUCAACAGAAUGUCUGAUAUUAUUUUAUGUAUACAGUAACUUAAAAUGUAAAUUUUUUUCUCAAAAAAACUCAUACAUUAAUGGUAGAAACAGUGGUAGUUUUUGUAGCAGUAGUCACUGUUAUUGUCAUUAUUGUUUUAAACAUGGUGCAGCUCCUGAUAGCAGAUGGUACAUGUUAAUAACAGUAAAAAUAAUAUCUUGAGGCUCUGUAACUUAUCACAUAUUGUUAUUGUGUGUCUGUGGUGUCAAAAUGAGUAUUAUAAAAGAUUAAUAUAAAAUGGUUUAGCAGACUGAAGUAUAUAUUAGGUAGAAGUUAAUAUUUGUUUCUUGCGAAAGGACCACAUGUUAAAGUAAUGCCAAACAGCCAGUAAUCAUGAAUACUUUAAAUAGAAUUUGUUAUUUCAAAACGUCUUAAAGGAGAAAAGAUAAACUUUCUAUUGAAAAACAGCAAAAUUAGAUUUUCUCCUGGAGAAAAUAACUUGAUAGGAUUUAAUGGAAAUCUGUUCAAUUAAAAAAAUGUAGUUUAUAAAAAGUUACUAUGCAAAAAUAGAACAAUGAAUUUAAAUUAUACUGUAUGGGGAAGAUAGGUUCAUUUAUCUUCUAAGAUGUACUAAAUAUAAACUGCACACACUCCAACUGUUAUCUUGCUUUUAUAUAUGAAAAUAGGAAAUACUGACUUUGUUUUUGUUAUUAAACGUGAAAUUGAUAGUUCUGCAUCAGCCUAUUUAUAAAAGUAAUGUUAUUCCCAAGAAUAUGUUGUUAGCAUUGACAAUGCAUUUUUAGACUUUUUACAUUCUUUAUCUGAUAUUAUUUAUUACAUUGACAUAGAAAUAUGUGAUUCAUCAGUUUUAGGAUUUCAUAUAGUAUAAUUUCACCUGCUUUGCAGGUUGAUUCAGUUGAUUAACUAAAUGAAAAUAUCUACCUUCUCAUUUAACGUGCCCCAGCUCUAUUUUACCUUACACUGAAUGUUCUCAAUAUUAUUUGCUAUCUAAAAGAAUGGAAAAAAUGCAACUUACUUUUAUCUUUAAUUAUGAACUAAAUUAUCCUGCAUAUAUGGAAAAAUUGCUAUUUAGAACAGUCCUAUAAAUAGAUAUUAAAAACUGAAUUAGCUCAUUAAGAUUCUUUAUAAUUCUGCCAUUCUCCCAAGGAAUACUACAUAGUAACCUUUAUUCUUUAUUGCUUAUCAGAGUGAGUGGAUACUCAUCUGCUUAUAAGACUGCAGCAUAAUAUUAAAAUGCAAAUAAAUAAAAUAUUCUGAUCAAUUAAAAUGGAAAAGAGUAGUAAAUUAUGGUGAUUCUCCACAUAUUAUCACUCUUGAACUUUAUCAUCUAUAAAAUGGGAGGUAAAAAUAUCUCACUGGACUGUUGUUUACAUCAAUUUUAAAAAUUUUAAGUGCUUUGAAAAUAGUAAUGUACUAAAUACAUGUAUGCUAUUCUCAGUAUUUCCUUCUACAAACUAUUCCUUGGAAAGAUGAAGCUAUACAUGAAAUUUUAGUAUCAUACUCUUUACAGAAGACUUUAUGAUGAAAGGUUUAUGGUAAUUCUCAGAAUCAUUUCUUAUUAUGAAUUUCAUUUAAGUUCCAGUUGAUUGUUCUUAUGUAAAGUGACCUGUCUUACAUUCUUAUGUUAUCUUAAAAUAAAUAUACUUGCUCUUGAAUCAAGAAAUUUAGUACUUUGCUUUUCUGUAUAUCUGUGGACUAACGUCUUUCUGAAAAAUGUCACGUAUAAACUUUGACAAUCUUUGUUGAUUACCAAACCUCCAUUGAUUUUAUGCCCUCUGCUAUAGCAAUACAUGCCAAGAAAUUAAUCUCAUCAACACUUCUGUAAGUAAAUACAUCAUAGAGCCAUAAAGCCUCUCAAAGUGUAUAAUAGGAAUUCAUACAUUAUAUUGAUAAAAUAUUAUCAUUGGUAUUGGAAAACUUUCAGAAAGUUUACUUGUGAAUGGAAUAUCAAUUUUCCUUUACAGACUAACUGUUUAAAUGGUUUAAAAUCAUUAAACCAACACUGCAGCAGCCCGUUUCACUAAUGUUGGUAUUUUGUAGGUAUCAUCUUACUAAGACAACUCCUAGAAAUUUACCAAUUUUCAAAAUACAUUUCAGUAGUCCCCCCUUAUCCAUGGCUUCACUUCCCGUGGUUUCAGUUACUCGUGGUCAACCUGGGUCCAAAAAUAUUAAAUGGAAAAUUCCAGAAAUAAAAAAUCCAUAAGUUUUAACUUGCUCACCAUUCUGAGUAACAUGAUGAAAUCCCACUAUGUCCUUCCUGGGUUGUGAAUCGUCCCUUUGCCCAGUGUAUCCCAUCCUUUAGUCACUUAGUAGCCGUCUUGGUUAUCAGAUGGAUGUCAUGGUAUCACAGUGUUUACAUUCAGGUGACCCUUAUUUUACUUAAUAAUGGACCCAACGUGCAAGAGUAGUGAUGCUAGUAAUUUGGAUAUAUUAAAGAGAAGCUGUAAAGUGCUUCCUUUAAGUGAGAAGGUAAAAGU